UGGGGAAUAUUGGACAAUGGGGGCAACCCUGAUCCAGCCAUGCCGCGUGGGUGAAGAAGGCCUUAGGGUUGUAAAACCCUUUCAGCGGGGAAGAUGAUGACGGUACCCGCAGAAGAAGCCCCGGCUAACUCCGUGCCAGCAGCCGCGGUAAUACGGAGGGGGCUAGCGUUGUUCGGAAUUACUGGGCGUAAAGGGCGUGUAGGCGGCUUGUCCAGUCAGGCUUUCGCCC
rnacentral:rRNA from 1 species